CGCCCCGUCCUAGGGGAGUAGUCUCCCGCGAGCGCCGCACCGGCCUCGCCCGGCACGCGUCAACACACUUGGUCCGCAGACCAUGGCGCGCGCGACCCAAGCCUGCCCAGACAGGCCAAGGGUU
rnacentral:sRNA from 2 species